ensembl:lncRNA
GUAAGCACAGUCCCUCACUCAGCUGGUACAGAAUCAUGCUGUUGUGGACGGAGGCAGGGAGAGAGAGAGUGAAUGAAUGAAACACAGGGCGGGAGGGGUGGACAGGGCACAGGGGUGUGUCAUCUUGGUCAUCUCUGCCUCUCUCUCUACAUCACUAGUUGGGGAAAGGGAGAGCUGAGACUGUGAUAAGGCGAACAGGGUUCAGCUGGCAGGGAGUUCAGGGGCCCUGAUCGUCAAGGGGCGGAGCCCAUAGACUUAAGAUAAUCCUCACCUGGAAAAUCUGUUCCCCCCAUCCCAGCGGAGCCUUCUCUUCUUCCAGAAAGAGUGUGGAAUGCUCCAGAAAUAUGCAAGACCCUCCAGAGAUGAGGAAGACAAUCACAGAGUGUCUGUUCUAAACAGUCCUUUAAUGGAGGCUGGGGGAUCCAAGUAGAUUUGAAUCUUAACCCUAGGCGUGAGACAGAAAUUCUCCCCUCAGAGCCUGUUUCCCCAUCUGUUUGGUAAGAGGCUUGAAGUGACUGAUUGUCUAAAGAGGUUCUGAGCUGAGAGUAUUCGGGUUCUAAGAAGGGCUGUGAGACAGUGCGGCCCUGCAGUAUCCUAUCAAUCCGGCUCUUUAAUUCCCCUCCUUUCCCUCUGCACUGGGAGACCUGCCUUGUAAACAAACGGAAGUCAGGCCAGGAGGCUCCGCAAAAUACACCACCUCUGCUGCUGCUGCUGCUAAGUCGCUUCAGUCGUGUCCGACUCUGUGCGACCCCAUAGACGGCAGCCCACCAGGCUCCUCCAUCCAUGGGAUUCUCCAGAGUGACUCCUUGGGACUGAGCCCCACCUGCCCUCAGGACCCAUUUCUGUUCUGCACGGGGCCUGCUCAGCUGGACACUUUAUACACUCAAAAGGAGGCCUUGCUACCUGAAGGUACAGACACUCAGACGUUCAGCCUUUCACAGUUGAAGUGCUUUUACAGACUGUCGUCGAUGGAGUAGCCACCAUGGAGGUUAAGGAGCCCGUAUGAGGGUGAUGCUCUCUGCACACUCCGAUUGAAGAUUUGAAGACCUGAUGGACCGUGCGUGUUAGGAGGGAUUUCAGUGGAGUGAAGUUCAGGAGGCGUGGAACUGACACCGGAGCUGCCGGCAAAAGUAGGCCUGACUUGGAAAAGGAAAGGCUCAGUGAGAGGCGUGCGAGCUGCAGACACCUUGUGCGUGUGCCCGUCUGCAGACGGGAUCUGCCUGUUACUUCUAAAUGGACAUGGGUGUUUUCUGUAACUCACAAAAAGUAAACGUUGCCUGUCUCUGUG